rnacentral:siRNA from 1 species
AGAAGAGGGACAUUGACCAAAUAA